GGGAUCCUCUAGAGAUUGAGAGUUUGAUCCUGGCUCAGGAAGUAAAAGUCGUAACAAGGUAGCCGUAAAUGAGAGUUUGAUCCUGGCUCAGGAUGAACGCUAGCGAUAGGCCUAACACAUGCAAGUCGAGGGGCAACACAUGAAGUAGCAAUACGGAUGGUGGCGACCGGCGCACGGGUGAGUAACGCGUAUGCAAUCUACCUACAACAAGGGGAUAACCCGUUGAAAGACGGACUAAUACCCUAUAAUACAGGGGUCCCGCAUGGGAAUAUUUGUUAAAGAUUCAUCGGUUGUAGAUGAGCAUGCGUUCCAUUAGCUAGUUGGUGAGGUAACGGCCCACCAAGGCAACGAUGGAUAGGGGAACUGAGAGGUUUAUCCCCCACACUGGUACUGAGACACGGACCAGACUCCUACGGGAGGCAGCAGUGAGGAAUAUUGGUCAAUGGACGCAAGUCUGAACCAGCCACGUCGCGUGAAGGAAGACGGCCCUACGGGUUGUAAACUUCUUUUGUAAGGGAAUAAAGUGAGUCACGCGUGACUUUUUGCAUGUACCUUACGAAUAAGGAUCGGCUAACUCCGUGCCAGCAGCCGCGGUAAUACGGAGGAUCCGAGCGUUAUCCGGAUUUAUUGGGUUUAAAGGGUGCGCAGGCGGGAGAUUAAGUCGGCGGUGAAAUUUUGCAGCUCAACUGUAAAAGUGCCAUCGAUACUGGUUUUCUUGAGUGUGGAUGAAGUAGGCGGAAUUUGUGGUGUAGCGGUGAAAUGCAUAGAUAUCACGAGGAACACCGAUUGCGCAGGCAGCUUACUAAACCAUAACUGACGCUCAGGCACGAAGGCGUGGGGAUCAAACAGGAUUAGAUACCCUGGUAGUCCACGCAGUAAACGAUGAUUACUGGCUGUUUGCGAUAUACAGUAAGCGGCUGAGCGAAAGCGUUAAGUAAUCCACCUGGGGAGUACGUUCGCAAGAAUGAAACUCAAAGGAAUUGACGGGGGCCCGCACAAGCGGAGGAACAUGUGGUUUAAUUCGAUGAUACGCGAGGAACCUUACCCGGGCUUGAAAUGCAUCUGACAGGGGCAGAGACGUCCUUUCCCUUCGGGGCAGAUGUGUAGGUGCUGCAUGGUUGUCGUCAGCUCGUGCCGUGAGGUGUCGGCUUAAGUGCCAUAACGAGCGCAACCCUCAUCAUUAGUUACCAUCAGGUUAAGCUGGGGACUCUAAUGAGACUGCCAUCGUAAGAUGCGAGGAAGGUGGGGAUGACGUCAAAUCAGCACGGCCCUUACGUCCGGGGCGACACACGUGUUACAAUGGGUGGUACAAAGGGCAGCUACAUGGCGACAUGAUGCUAAUCUCCAAAACCACUCUCAGUUCGGAUCGGAGUCUGCAACUCGACUCCGUGAAGCUGGAUUCGCUAGUAAUCGCGCAUCAGCCACGGCGCGGUGAAUACGUUCCCGGGCCUUGUACACACCGCCCGUCAAGCCAUGGAAGCCGGGGGUACCUGAAGUUCGUAACCGCAUAGGAGCGACCCAGGGUAAAACUGGUAACUGGGGCUAAGUCGUAACAAGGUAGAAUCGUCGACC
rnacentral:rRNA from 1 species